AUGGACCUUGACGGCGAGUGGCGCGACGGUGGUGGCCGGGAGCGGUUCCUGGCCAUGAUGAUCUUCGACGGCUGCUUCCUGCUGGAGGUGAUCAGGUGCACGGCCGCCGAUGGGAAGCAGGUCGGCGACUACGCACAUAACGACCCCAUCUUCAGCCCCCAUGGGAUACUAUACAUGGUGCCCUACAUCCGGCGAGACGUGCUCAAAAACCAGCUACCUCUACUCCUGCUUCAGAAGCUCGUUGAGGUUGAGACUGGAAAGCCUCCGAACGACGACUUCAUCAACCGAAUGGUGCUGAAAUUUCUGGCCCAAUCAUCCGGGACACUACCAGCAGGCAUCGGCCUAGGGCUCCACCCGCUGGAUGUCUUUCGCCGGAGCAUGCUCACUGGUAAGCACCACAAAAUCCGGAGCCCCCAGGACAUUGAGGACGACAACGCCAUCAUCCGGUCAGCUGUGGAGCUCUACGAAGCCGGGAUCCAGUUCAAGCCGAGCAAGACGUUGAGCCUGCACGACAUCCGGUUCCGGCGCGGCACGCUGAGCAUGCCGACGGUGUCGGUGGACGACUCCACCGAGUACAUGUUCCUCAACAUGAUGGCGUUCGAGCGGCUGCAUGCUGGAGCUGGCAACGACGUGACCGGCUAUGUCUUCUUCAUGGACAACAUCAUCGACUCGGCCAAGGACGUGGCGCUGCUGAGCUCCAAGGGCAUCAUCCAGAACGCCAUCGGUAGCGACCAAGCCGUGGCCAAGCUGUUCAACACCAUUUCUAGGGACGUGGUGCUCGAGCCCAACAGCGCGCUUGAUGCCGUGCAGCGACAGGUCAAUGGCUACUUCCGGCAGCCAUGUGGCGCGCCAACCUCAUCCGCACCUACUUCAGGAGCCCGUGGGCGUUCCUCUCCCUUGCGGCCGCCGUCUUCCUCCUCGGCAUGA
rnacentral:rRNA from 1 species